CCCGGGUCUUGUACACACCGCCCGUCACACCAUGGAAGUUGGUUGCACCAGAAGUCGGUAGCUUAACCUUCGGGGGGGCGCCGCCCACGGUGUGGCCAAUGACUGGGGUG
rnacentral:rRNA from 1 species